rnacentral:lncRNA from 1 species
AGAUAUAUAACACAUUAAUCUCUUUACCAUAAAAAUUUGGAAGGCAAAACGUCAGGGGAAACUACUGAGAAGGGUGACUCUAAGGUCUGUUGAUUCCAAACUUUCGGUAGAAAGUUGCAGUUGGAGUUUUGUAUUUUGAAAGGGUAGCAAAAGAUGUCCAAAAGACUUGAAAUUUUACAUGGACGUUCAUAACACUCUGAUAUACUCACCAUAAAAGUUUCAAGAUUUUUGGGUAUCAAGAACCCUGUCGAAAUUUAUCAAGUCAGUAGCUUUUUAAAAGUUUUUAAAAUAACUCAUCAACUUGCCAACUUUAAGCAUAUAGCCAACUAUACUCUAUCUUUCAUCAAACUAACUCACUUCAAUCUUCAUCAAACACCUUUAAUCAUCAUUCUAAUCCAUCAAACAUCAUCUCAACAAUCUCAAUAGCUCAUAUUCAUAACCAAAUCAACAAUCCAUCCAUGAACUUCAAACUUCUCAAAAUCAUGUAAACUAACUCAUCUAAAAAUUCACAUAU